UACGGAAGGCAGCAGGGGGAAUAUUGCACAAUGGGCGCAAGCCUGAUGCAGCCAUGCCGCGUGUAUGAAGAAGGCCUUCGGGUUGUAAAGUACUUUCAGUCGUGAGGAAGGUGUUAAGGUUAAUAACCUUAGCAAUUGACGUUAGCGACAGAAGAAGCACCGGCUAACUCCGUGCCAGCAGCCGCGGUAAUACGGAGGGUGCGAGCGUUAAUCGGAAUUACUGGGCGUAAAGGGCACGCAGGCGGUUAAUUAAGUUGGAUGUGAAAUCCCCGGGCUUAACCUGGGAAUGGCAUUCAAGACUGGUUAGCUAGAGUCUUGUAGAGGGGGUAGAAUUCCAUGUGUAGCGGUGAAAUGCGUAGAGAUGUGGAGGAAUACCGGUGGGCGAAGGCGGCCCCUGGGACAAAGGACUGACGCUCAUGUGCGAAAGCGUGGGGAGCGAAACAGGGAUUAGAUACC
rnacentral:rRNA from 1 species